UACGGAGGGGGCUAGCGUUGUUCGGAAUUACUGGGCGUAAAGCGCACGUAGGCGGCUUUGCAAGUUAGAGGUGAAAGCCCGGGGCUCAACUCCGGAAUUGCCUUUAAAACUGCAUCGCUAGAAUUGUGGAGAGGUAAGUGGAAUUCCGAGUGUAGAGGUGAAAUUCGUAGAUAUUCGGAAGAACACCAGUGGCGAAGGCGGUUCUCUGGGCCUUACCUGACACUGAGGAGCGAAAGCGUGGGGAGCGAACAGG
rnacentral:rRNA from 1 species